ACAAACUUCUGCAGAAAUUUCACGUGACUGCUGGACUCCAGCUGCAUGAGUCUCAGCAAUUCAGCCACUAGUACUCCGUGCAGGUUUCGACCAAGAGCAGGAGCAGAUGUGUGACUAUUGCCACAAGUCCAAUGCCAGAAGAAACUCUGUGGCAGCAGACUAAAGGGUCUAGUUUCUUCGAUGCACAUGGGAUUGAUUCAGGUGACUAAUGGGAGUUUGUUAUGGUCUUGUCUUGAUAUAGCUUAGAGGCCUGAAGGAGCAAUACUAAAGCAAAGAAUCCUGCACUGGC